UACGAAGGGGGCUAGCGUUGCUCGGAAUCACUGGGCGUAAAGGGUGCGUAGGCGGGUCUUUAAGUCAGGGGUGAAAUCCUGGAGCUCAACCCAUACCGAGCUUCUGAUACUGAGGAUCUUGAGUUCGGGAGAGGUGAGUGGAACUGCGAGUGUAGAGGUGAAAUUCGUAGAUAUUCGCAAGAACACCAGUGGCGAAGGCGGCUCACUGGCCCGAUACUGACGCUGAGGCACGAAAGCGUGGGGAGCAAACAGG
rnacentral:rRNA from 1 species